UACGUAGGGUGCAAGCGUUAAUCGGAAUUACUGGGCGUAAAGCGUGCGCAGGCGGUUUUGUAAGUCUGACGUGAAGUCCCCGGGCUCAACCUGGGAAUUGCGUUGGAGACUGCAAGGCUGGAGUCUGGCAGAGGGGGGUAGAAUUCCACGUGUAGCAGUGAAAUGCGUAGAGAUGUGGAGGAACACCGAUGGCGAAGGCAGCCCCCUGGGUCAAGACUGACGCUCAUGCAUGAAAGCGUGGGGAGCAAACAGG
rnacentral:rRNA from 1 species